GCCCAGACUCCUACGGGAGGCAGCAGUGGGGAAUAUUGCACAAUGGGGGAAACCCUGAUGCAGCGACGCCGCGUGAGGGAAGAAGGUUUUCGGAUUGUAAACCUCUGUCCUUGGUGACGAAAGAAGACGGUAGCCAAGGAGGAAGCCACGGCUAACUACGUGCCAGCAGCCGCGGUAAUACGUAGGUGGCAAGCGUUAUUCGGAUUUACUGGGUGUAAAGGGCGUGUAGGCGGGACUGCAAGUCAGAUGUGAAAACCACGGGCUCAACCUGUGGCCUGCAUUUGAAACUGUAGUUCUUGAGUACUGGAGAGGCAGACGGAAUUCCUAGUGUAGCGGUGAAAUGCGUAGAUAUUAGGAGGAACACCAGUGGCGAAGGCGGCCUGCUGGACGAUGACUGACGUUGAGGCUCGAAAGCGUGGGGAGCAAACAGGAUUAGAUACCCCAGUAU
rnacentral:rRNA from 1 species